rnacentral:lncRNA from 1 species
AAAACCAGUUUCCUGAAUGAAAAUACCCAAACCAAAUAUAGUGGGGGCACCCCCUACCCACCCCCAAUUUCUCAUCUCAAGCCCCUGCCCCACUCUCUACUCCGGGUUCACGCAGAUAUUUUUCAUUGUUCUCUCCUCUCUUUCCGUUUCCAUAAACUUAUCUGGUAGGUAUCUAUUCUCCCGUUUCUCUUUCUGCUGAAAACGCCAUUGAAAUGACUCUUAUUUUUCUUUCAAUUCUCAGUGCAUCUUCAUUCAUCUUCUCCUCAAAUUGUCCGAUUAACUUUUCGAUCACUCACAACACUAUGAAAUUGCAAUCAUUUUGGCCAUUAAUGGCGGCGGUUCAUUCACUUCUUUUCUGUUUUGUUCCUAAGAAAGAUAGAAAAAAAUCUUUUUUUAAUAUCAUAUGCUAAACGCAUUUUCACCUUUGCUUAUAGACUGGUUGCGUUUUGCGACACUUUUGCUAUAUACAUUUCAUGUUUUUUUUUCAUCAUAUAAUUUUGUUCAACUUGCUGAUCGGAAUCAUUUUUCGUUUUGCUUUUUCAUCUGGAACUUCUUUCAGAUCAUCAAGUUUUCGAAUGAUACGAUAUGUAAUCACUCCCAGCCAUUGCGAACAUGCCGUUGCUUGGUUUUUCAGGUGGGCAAUGCUGUUUCUUUCAUAUUUAUUUCGUAUUUAAAUUAAAUAUACGUUUCAAUUAGUUUCUUCUUUCUUCUUUGCAAUUUAUUUUGGUUCAUAAAGUUUUUCCUUGCCGAGUUAUUGAAGUUUCGUUUCUUUACGAGGUCCAUAAGCAUCUUAUGUUGGUUUUAAUGUCACAUUUGAUGUACUGUUGCUGAUUAAUUUCGCUUUGGAAUUUCAUAAAAAGAAGGGAUUUUAACACAAAUAGCCAAAGAUUCACUGUUUACUUUUUCUAGUUGGUAUACAUAGAUUAUACAGUAAUUAUACACAGUUAUGCACAUAUGAUACAUGAAUUAUACAUAUAUUCUAUAUCUGUCUGGCUAGUUUUAGUUUAAGCGAUUAGGUGGAGGCUAUUUGGGUUAAUUCUUCUAAAAAGAAUCACUUUACUGUUUCUCGGUCGAAUCUGUGGUGGCUCCAUAUUUGUUAUUGCAUGUACCCUUGUUUUUUGGUUUCUGCUGCAUUUUCUUUUUUGGCACUAAUUCAUCCCAAGAAAUAAUACUAGUAGUUACUUUUACCUUAUGGCAUGUGAAAUAUGCUUCCGACCUCUGUGAUAUACUCUUAGUGCUGCUGUCUUAUGGCUUCUCCUGGGAAUUGUGUUAUGAUCUGCAUUCCAUUUUGCCUUCCUGUUAAUGUUGACAUAAAUUUUGGUGUUAUUGAUCUAAAGUGUAUCCACGCCACAUCAUUUAAAAUACAGAUAGCUAAACACUAUCAACAAGAAAUUGACCAUUUUACCAGUAUAAUGGCCUACAGUAGAAGUUGAACUGAAAUACCACUUGGCAAUCUAAAUAAAAUCUAGUAACACCAUGUUAAUUUUUACCCAUUACUCUAGGAAAAUAAUGUUUAACAUUAACUAGCUUUGUUCCUCUAGAAUUGUUUAGAGAUCAUAUUCAAAGCGAUUUUCCUCGUGAAAUGGCUUGGCAACCUACUUUUUUGUAUUUAAACACAUGUUCUAACAUAAAUUAAGGUUCUUAAAAAAAAAAUUAGGGUUUUCAUUUUACAUUUCAAUGAGAGACCAAUAAACUCAUAUUCCCUCCGUUCCAAUUUUAUUUUCUUUUUAGUCAUUCCAAAAAGACUGACCUCUUUCUAAAUUAAAUGUGACUUCUCAUUUUUACCCUUUUUGAGAAGCUUAUGUUGCCACAAAAAUGCUCCGGCAUAUUUAAGAUCAAAAGUUUCAAAAGUAUUAUAGCCACACAAAUGUUAUGACAUAUUUACGAUCGGAAGUUUCAAAAAUCGUCUUUUCUUUCUUAAGCUAUGUGGUUGAAAAGGAGGAAGUAUUUGACAUGAGCCUACAAAAACAGAAGUGAGUAGUUGAGGAGCAUAUGAGAGAAUUGAGCAGGGCAAAUGAAAAAGUUUAAAGAGAGCAAAGUAUUUAGAAUGCAAUAUAUUAUGAUCCAAAAAGUAUAAGUUGUUAAUUCUAAUUAUAAAAAUAUAAGUUAUGGAUCCAUGUGGGAUUCAUAGGGAUGGCUAAUAGGAGAAGUAAGAGAUAGAUAGAGCGGGGUGAGAGGAGUGAAUGCCUAAGUAUAAGGGCCAUUAUCAAGGUGGGGUUAAAGGAAAGAUGUGUGAUUAGUGUGCUCGCAAGAAAUGAAAACGAAAAAAUACCAGAGUCAAUUAUCAUAAGUGUGUGAAAACAUAAGAGUGAGAAGUGAAAUGAUAUGCUUAGGAGGAGAUAAGAAGGGAUUGUGGUGUUAUAAGACAUGUCGAUGUUGAAGUUUCAAGAUGUGAGGAAGGAGAUUCCACAAUUAUUGUAAUCUUUGAAAGUGUGGAUAGUUCAGUCGAGUGAGAUUGAUGGGUCGGCAAGUGAGGGGUCAAAAUGGAGUUUUGAGAGGAGAUCUCAUUGGUGAUGCUAGGAUGGGGUAAUGCGAGAUAGAUCGGGAUUUCAGUGCAAUAAGACUCCUGAAGGAAAGAGAGGAAUGUGAGGCCAGCGUUUAAAUCCCAACAUAGGCAAAAAUAGUAGGUGAUUAUUCUCCUAUACAUGUGCUUAUAGGAGAUGACGGAAUGGCAGUUACCUGAUGGAUUAGUCGAGUGCAUGCGAACUGGCUUGAACCUUGAUGUUUUAAACGGAAAGAAAGAGAUGGUAUGACGAUCCUUUGGGCAAUGGGAAAUUCACGAUGGUAAUCAACUCUCCCAUUUUUUGAUAGGUCCACAACUGAAAAGUCAAUCAAGGCUCGACAAGUUUCUCAUCCAACCGUAUGGGAGGGGAUGUUGCUAAUAUUUAUCCAAAUUGCUUCUUCUCUAAUAUUAAACCCUAUACUGAUUUUGUAGAUUGUAGCAGAAUAAGGAGUACCCUUCCUAACAAUUAGAAGCGGCCAGUGCUGGAUGGAUGGAGGGAGUACCAUAUGCAAAGGGUUCCUCUUUUUCUCCGGCGAAGAAGUUGAAGCGGCUAACAAAUUAUUUAAGAUGGACUGGAGAAGUACUUUAGAGGAUAAAAAUAUAACAAGGGAACUGAUGAAUGAAUUUGGACAAUUGGAGAGGAAAGAGAGAGGGUGCUUAUUAAGAGGGAAAAAUUAGGAAAUAUGAGGUAAAAGAGUAAUUAGCUAAGAUGACAGUCACUCAAGCAUCAAAAGGAGAUAAAAUUUGAGGAUAUUGUGGUUGAAGAAGGGUGAUUGCAACAUAAAUUCUUUUUAUCUGUUAGCAAUUGCUAGUCGGAGAAGGAAUUUUAUGGACACAAUAAAGGUGAAAUAGGUAGAACAUGGAGAAAAAGGAAGUAAGAGGAGUUAUUGAGUGAAGAUAAUGUGGGCAUAAAACUCUAAAUUAAAGAGAGUGGAUUUUAGCAACAUAGGGAGAGAAGAAGCAAUCAGUUUGAGAGGGAGUUCUUACUGUUAGACGUUUGGGGGGCUGUUGUUACUGUUCAUGGAAGUGCUCAUCAAAGCUACAAAUAGAGUUGUGAUUGGGGGUUAUCUAAGAUCCUUGUAGCUAGCAUGGAAGGCUGGACCAAUGUAGGGAUGUUUCAUCUUCUCUUGCAGACAGUACUCUUGCAUAUUGACCCCGAGGCGCAUCAACUCGCUACUUGAAAAGCACAUAAUUAUCUAGGUAGCUUUGAGUCUGAAGAUAGACAUGAAGGCGUUGAGAUAAGUCUAGUGGGUAAAGAAGAUAACAUAGAGCAACUAAAUGAGAUCCUAUUGUAUGGUUGGUUCCCCUUCUGUCAAACUACCUGGGACUAAAUGCAGCUUAUUAUCUAGUUCUUAUAGCCUUUCUAUGGGGUAAAUGGUAAAGUUACAUGGGUAUUGCAUGGUAUUCUUUCUCCUUAUCUUUAUAGGAUUAGAGCUUUGAUUUGAUGUGCUUUUUUUUCUUUUUCAUUGGACAGUUCUUUUUGGUCCUGAUUAUGUUGAACUGUCAUAUUUUCCUAUCGUUAAACAUAGUCUUAUUUUGAAAUGGAUUUCUACCAUACAUUUGGUGGCUAGUGGGCUGUAUUAGCAUUUUGGUAAAUGACAAGGCAGUUAGUAUUUAGUCCUAUUUGAGCUGGUCUGGAUUCCAUUCCAUAGAUAGUCCUGGAUGUGAUGCAAAAUCUUUAGUGCAUUCGUUUACUCAUAUCCUUGAAUAAAGUUCAUCAUACAGGUUACUAGUGAUUUUAAUUGAAUAAUUCCUCUGUUAUAGAGUACAACGGCUAAAGUACCUAAUUUUUGGUGUGGAUUUAACCAUAGGUUCUUCAAGUUUUUGAAAUAAAAUUUACAUAGUUGGAAACUACAUAAAAGGCACUAUAGGUCACAAAAGUUAAUAAUUCAAAAUAUUUGAAAGGUUUAAAAAAAGGGGGUUGUGGUCAAAGAACUCCCAGAAUAUGAAAAGUGGCCUUUUUUCCCCAAAAAAAGAAAAAGAAAAAGAAAAAUGUGAUAGAGGAAGUAAUAGGUUUUAGAGGGAUAGAAGAAAUAAAUUAGAUACAUUUUUUACUGAUAUAAUUCAGUUACAGUUGCUUUGUUUAAUGCAACAAAAGAUGACUUUUUACCACAUCUUCAAUACAAUAGAUUUCCAUGCCUUAAUUGUGAAAAUAUGAUUCAAGAAUAAAUAAAAUGGUUAUGAUAGACAUCAAGAUGACAAGAUCAUAAUGCUAUUGCUAUACAUUGUUUGUUUCUAUGCUUUUGAAUAAAUGUGUGUGCAUCAAUGCAUGGGUGGAGCUAUGGUGGUGGAAGGGGGUUCCCUUCACCGGAAAAUUACAUUGCAUAUAUAAGGUCAAAUAUUUUAUGUAAACAUAUUAGGUAUUGAAUCCCCUUGGCCUCGGUGCAUGUCUACUUUUUUUGUUUUUUGAAUCUCCUUAGCGGAAAUCCUAGCUUCGCCACUUAUGUUACCAUUUUUUUUUUUAAAAAAUCCUAGCUUCGCCACUUAUGUUACCAUUUAAAAAAAAUAAAUCCUAGCUUCGCCACUUAUGUUACCAUUUAAAAAAAAAAAAAUCCUAGCUUCGCCACUUGUAUUAGUACUCUCUUACAAACAUAUCACCAUAAUACAUUUUCUUUUCUCUUUCUUUUCUUUUUGUAGAGUAUAUAUCUGCCUCUCAUAUUUGUUUGAGUCUGUGCCUCUUAUAUCAAGAUGGUUCAAGUCCCAACUCCUCCCCAAUUGUACUUCACUCCCUUCUUUUUUCUGUCAAUCUCCUUUUUUGUGAAAAAGUGAGCUCGUUCACAAUAAGCGUUAAGUUUUGGGAAGUAAUAAGCGGGGCUAGCUUACGGUCUCUGGUUCACCUACCUUGAGUAAUGCCAAUUUUUUGGAAUGGAUGAAGUGGGUUAUAACAUAUAUAAAGUUUAAAAAAAUUUCUGAAGCUCUUAAAGAAAGGGGAAACAAAGCUUGGUGAUUUGACCUCAUACUAAAUUGUAAUGGCGCCUCAAACUGAAACUUUUGGCAGUACAAAUGAAGUUCAGGAAUAAGGUUACUACACUAUUUCCUUGCUUGUCCCGUUAGUAGAAUAACAUAUUAAUGCUAUUGUCGUAACAGAGCAUACUAGUAUAUUUACUUUUCUGUAGUUUUAUUUACUUAGACCCUCUAAAUAAGAUUGCACAGUUGUUAUGUUGCUAAAGUUCUCAUUAUGACCUAAAAAUUUUCAUGUUGACCUUCAAUUAAACCAUGAUAGAACUGAAAAUAAAGGAUUCAAGUGGCUUAACUUAGCUUACUAUAUAUAACUGAAAAAAGUACAAUUUGAAAGAAUCUCAAUAUUGGCAACUCCAAGAGAGAACCAUGCCAUCUUACUGAAAUAUGGUGUAUAGAUCCUUGCUCUGUACAAGGGCUAUCCUUGUCCGGCCUGUCAGGGAAUUCUUAAUCUUGUUGCUACAUUGAUGUAAAGUGUUAUUUAGUUGAGAUACUGCAGUAACACUAGAUGGUCAAUUCUUUUUCCUUGAGCCGUGUCAGUUUCCUCUGAAUUUACUCGAUUCUGCAUCUUUAUGAACCUUACUACACUAGCUGUCUUCAUUUUUAUCCAAGUGCUAAGCCAUUAUGAAACCUUAUCUACGCCUCUUUUGUUUCUAUUUGUCUUGAACUGAGAAUCUUUGACUAAAAGAGAUUGUUUAAUUAUGUUUUAUAUUCUCAGUGUUUGAAAUUGCUGCUGCUGCCAUUAUUGAGCUUUGGUUGUAAUAAGUUUUCCAACCAUUCUUGGUAUUGGCAUUGUAAAAAGAUGCUCGAUGUGCUGAUUAUUCCACUAAAAACUAAGAAGAAACUUCUCCUUUUUGUUUAUUUUACACAAUUUUCUGGAAUGUCCCGAGCAGGUGGGAUCAUAUUCUUUGGUAACAUUGCAUGCUUGCAGUUUUGCUGUUUGAAGAGAAAUUCAAAUUUCUAGUUUUAAUUCCUUUACCUUGUCAAUAUGUAGUACCUGUACACACUAAACUUUGAUAAGCUCCGUGAAGUUUUUGCCUUUUUUUCAAUUCCCUAGUCUUAUCCACUACCCAAUAUUCCUUCAUUCACGUUCAUGUAAACUACAUCCAGAUAGCAGUUGAAUAGUCUUUUGUGGUUAAGACUCUACACCUUUUAGAUGACUGUGUUCUGCCUAUGUGUAUUUCCUGAAGUAAUACAGAAGACUUCUGCCUGAGAUGAACUUUAUGAUCAGACAGUUCAUGACCUAAGCAUGAAUGCUUUCUUGUUAAUUUAAGUGUGCAAUCCAUUGCUGUACAAAUAGAUAAUUUGGCGAGACUGUCUUUUGUAUUAUAGAAAUUGUUUUUGAUUGCGCAUGCCAUUCAUGUCGGUUUAGCAUUGGGAUCCUUGUGAUCCAGAAAUAACUUGUUUAAGAAGCACUUACUAUAUUCCUUAUUUAAGAAAAAAACAAACGCUUACUGUAUUUGGCAGCAAAGAAUGUAGUACUCAAAAUUGUGAAGCAUGUUUCAUAUAUUCUUUCCUGAUAUAAUUCUUUCUAUACAUAUUUAGUCUUCAGGCUCAAGAUCAUUCAUUCUUAAAUUCCCGGGAAGAGCAUUACUAAUAUAAAUUCGUAUUGUGUAUUUUUCUUUUCCAGUUGAAUGCUGAAAUUUGACAUUGGUGUGUAAUGAACUUAGUUUGUCCUUGCUGAAGACUAUUGCAUGCAAAGCAUAUUGAUGCAACUUUGAGGUAUGUCUUAAUGUAUUAAGUUGCUUAGCUCAGAUUUGUACUGUUUGCAUGUGGUGUGUUUCUCAAGGAAUUUCUAUGAGGAGCUACUGUUUUGUAAAACCUUUUCUGCUUACAUUUCUUCGCUCUUGCUCCUGUUUUAAGUUGUCAACUAUUUACAAUUAUUUCAGAAGUGUCAAAUCAAUUAUAAUCCUAGCAUAUAUGCAUACACAUCAUAAGCAUCAAGUGUCGAGAAAGAUAAAGAACUUAGAGAUACUGUGCCAAUGUAUUCUUUUAUUUGUUGUUAUUUUGACUUAAGUAGCUGUGCUAGGGAUUACCUCACACUUGUCUAACUUGCUGACAUUAACCAUAUGAACGGUAGAUUUUUCCUGACAUCCCUGCUUCUCUACCACUACUACCAUUACUAAUUGAAACAUAACUUUGUAAGCACGGCUGCUUCUUCAACACGAGAACUCAAAACUCUUACGAGUCUGGUUUUCCCGCUAAUGCAGCUGUAGCCUGCAGCAUGUUCCAGUUAGAUGAUAGUCAAUGAUCAAGGUCGUGAGCUACCAUUGUGCUUCCAGAUAAAGAAUAUGAAUAAGAAAUUACCCCAAUUCUGUAGUUCCUGAUGU